CUAAUUCAUUUCAAAAAUGUGCGAGGGUUUUUUGGAGGUAAGACAGAGAUUUGACCAAACUGUAUUCCAAUAAGGACUAUAGCCCAACCAUGAGAGUUCUCUCUCCCACACAGCUAAUACCUUCAGGGUCUUUUAUGAAGAUUCAAGUAGUUGUUUAUAGAUCAAUGAGAC